AUUGAACGCUGGCGGCAUGCCUUACACAUGCAAGUCGAACGGUAACACGCUUUCGGCUUGCGCUGACUGGCGGCGGGGGGCGGAAUACAGCGGAACGUACCCGAACCUAGUUGUUCGCGGGGGAUAAGGUAUGGUAAUUCACGCUACUACCUCAUACUGCCUACGGGUGAAAGCAAGGGAUUGUGCGACCGUGCGGGCCGGUAUGAGCCGAUGUCGGAUUAGGUAGUUGGCGGGGUAAAGGCCUACCAAGGCGACGAUCCGUAGCUGGUCUGAGGGGAUGAUCAGCCACACUGGGACUGAGACACGGCCCAGACUCCUACGGGAGGCAGCAGUGGGGAAUUUUGGACAAUGGGCGCAAGCCUGAUCCAGCCAUGCCGCGUGGAUGAUGAAGGCCUUCGGGUUGUAAAGUGCUUUUGUACGGAAAGAAAAGCAUUAUGUUAAUACCGCGCGGUUAUGACGGUACCGUAAGAAUAAGCACCGGCUAACUACGUG
rnacentral:rRNA from 1 species